rnacentral:rRNA from 1 species
AGUGAACGCUGGCGGUAGGCCUAACACAUGCAAGUCGAACGGCAGCACAGUAAGAGCUUGCUCUUACGGGUGGCGAGUGGCGGACGGGUGAGGAAUACAUCGGAAUCUACUUUUUCGUGGGGGAUAACGUAGGGAAACUUACGCUAAUACCGCAUACGACCUACGGGUGAAAGCGGGGGAUCUUCGGACCUUGCGCGAUUGAAUGAGCCGAUGUCGGAUUAGCUAGUUGGCGGGGUAAAGGCCCACCAAGGCGACGAUCCGUAGCUGGUCUGAGAGGAUGAUCAGCCACACUGGAACUGAGACACGGUCCAGACUCCUACGGGAGGCAGCAGUGGGGAAUAUUGGACAAUGGGCGCAAGCCUGAUCCAGCCAUACCGCGUGGGUGAAGAAGGCCUGCGGGUUGUAAAGCCCUUUUGUUGGGAAAGAAAAGCAGCAGGUUAAUACCCCGCUGUUCUGACGGUACCCAAAGAAUAAGCACCGGCGAACUUCGU